ensembl:lncRNA
GUGAGUAAUCAAUUGCCUUUUAUCUUGGUUGAAAUCGGGUUGAAAUGCGGUCUGGACGUCUGCGACCUCGUUUCAACCGGCUAAAAAGUGGGCAAAACGUUAAUUUGUUAAUAAUGUGUCAUAUUGUAACGUAAGGUUGAAAGAGACUAUAUUAUCAUGACGAUUUUAAUAAAAUGGUCGGCGCAAUGCUCCACCUAAAACGUCAGAAAUAUGGACAAGAUGCUUUUAAGACGUAGCAAUGCGGUCAGUUUUACGCUCCGCUCACAUCUGUAACGCGCAUGCGCAAGUUCUUGGCCGCUUGCAGCGCUUCCACCGGAUGCGGCACGAGGCGAAGUUUGUGCGGCAGCAGAGCGACAUGAACCGGCUGAUAGAACCACGGCUACCGGCUCCAAUACUCUGUUUCUGUGGAUGCUGGAGGCCUGAUGGAGGUUACGCCUGAUGGAGGUUGUCCCUGCAGUGGUCCUGCCGUACACCUGGCUUACUACUAAAUAUUUGAAUCAUUUCUGUCGUAGGAAUUGAACGUACUCUAAAUCUUUAAGUUGUUCAUUCUGUACACACUUUUUUUCUCUGCAGUUCUCCUUUUGGUUUCUCUCAUUUGAAGGUUUCUGUUUUUUCCAUUUGAGUUUUUCCUGUUCCAUGUUUCGGGACCAGAAGUUGCAUGUUUGCGGACUGUAAAGCUCUCUAAUGCUCAUUUGUAAUUUUGGGCUGUACAAAAAUAAAAUGAUUUGAUUUGAAUUAACACGUUGACCGGAGGAAUCAGCCAUAUCUGUAAUUGAGGGGUGUUCUGUGCAUUCUGACUCCCUUUACACAAAGAAUCAAGUGACCAUAAGGGCGAUGGAGCUGAUCUCACGUAUUCUAUCCCAAUUCGUGACUCAGAACCAGAUCUUGUUACAGGAUCGGAAAAUGAAGUUCCAAAAAUUCAGCAAAAUGGGCUACAGACAGAUUUCUAAAUAAACUUGUCCAUGUUUAUACUUUUUUUUUUAAUUCAUAGUUUAUUUUCCCUGAAGUGUUUUACUUUUUUUAUUUAAGAAAUGGCAUAUGUAUAGUGUUAUAUUUUUAUUUAAUAAAUACUAUAAUGUUGAGGGCUGUUAACAUGUCAACUGUGACUAUAACUUGUAAGUUCCCAGCAAGCAAUUUAUCAGGGAUAGACCAGUUUUCAGCGUGAUUUUUAAUAUGUCAGAAACUUCUUAAAUCUCUAAAAUAACGAUAUAGCACAAAGUACGGGAUGAAACAUUAACGUAUUGACGUCUAUGAACCGAAGUUGAGAAAACUUUCACUUUUCACUGUCGUCCGUAGAUUUCUUUUCAACCAAAAAAUGCCUCCUGGUUUUGUCGUUUUUUUCCCCAUUUGUCCAAACAUGCCGUUCAAAUAUGAAUGCAGGCAAUAAUAACCUCUACUGUUUAGUGGACGGAGUGAGACGGGAGGGGGAGAAGAGUAAUAUUAUAAACCUGUGGGUCUCAAACUAAUAUAUGUUCUGAAGUUGCUCUACUGGACGUGUUUGGGCCUUUUAGUGUAAUAUGUUUAAAAAAAAAAAGUCCAGAUUUUUCAUUGUUUUCAUUUCUUCGUGUUACAAAUUAAACCUAAAAAGAAAGUUAUUCAACAGUAAAUAUUGCUACAAAAAAUAAAUCCUCAUAAAUUAUAAGAAUUGAUAUUUUUUUUCCCGAAAAGUUGAAGGGCGCUCACACACACUUCAUAACUCAAUACAUCAUCAAAUAAACUAUUCCAACUGUAAGCCAAUAGUCCCUUUCUUAAUUCUAAUUACAACUUUGGUAAUGAAGUCACUUCUUUCCCCGGAGCGUCCUUGACUUAGACGAGAUAAUCCUUUAUCUUAUGGCCAUUCAACAAGAAGCAUCAAUUAAUGAAAAAACGAGCUAGCCCUUUUAAUUAAUGAAAGGGAUUAAAAUGAUUUCACUUAAGAUACAUCGAUAUGAAACAGUAUUAUUGAUUUUGCGUGUGGCUAAAUAGCUUUUGGAAUGUGAUCCGUGUGCAUUGUAAAGGGUGACCAGCAGGAAGAACCUUCUCCUUAAGGGAUGGAGCGCAUGUUAAAUAUGUACC